rnacentral:rRNA from 1 species
GGUUUGAUCCUGGCUCAGAUUGAACGCUGGCGGGAUGCUUUACACAUGCAAGUCGAACAGCGGCACGGACUUCGGUCUGGUGGCAGGUGGCGAACAGGUGAGUAAUGUAUCGGAACGUGCCUAGUAGCCAGGGAUAACUACGCGAAAGCGUAGCUAAUACACCAUACGCCCUUCGGGGGAAAGCGGGGGACCUUCGGGCCUCGCACUAUUAAACGGCCGAUAUCGGAUUAGCCGAUUGUUGAGGUAACGGCUCACCAAGGGCGACGAUCCGUAGCUGGUUUUGAGAGGACGACCAGCCACACUGGGACUGAGACACGGCAGACUCCUACGGGAGGCAGCAGUGAAAUUUUGGACAAUGAAACCUGAUCCAGCCACCCGCGUGUGCGAUGAAGGCCUUCGGGUUUAUAAAGCACUUUUUGGCAGGAAAGAAACGGCACGGGAUAAUACCCCGUGCAAUGACAGUACCUGCAGAAUAAGCACCGGCUGGCUACGUGCCAGCGGCCGCGGUAAUACGUAGGGUGCAAGCGUUAAUCCGGAAUUACUGGGCGUAAAGCGUGCGCGAGCGGUUCGGAAGAAAGAUGUGAAAUCCCGAGCUUAACUUUGAACUCCAUUUUAACUACCGAGCUAGAGUGUGUCAGAGGGAGGUGGAAUUCCCACGCGAUAAUAGCAGUGAGAGUAAGCCAGAUAUGCGGAAGGCACUGAUAGCGAAAGCGGCCUCUGGGAUAACGCGGCGCUCAUGCACGAAAGCGUGGGAGCAAACAGGAUUAGAUGCCCUGGUAGUCCACGCCCUAAACGAUGUCAACUGGCUAUUUGGGGCCUUCGGGCCUUGUGUGCCGCAGCUAACGCGUGAGUUGACCGCCUGGGGGUACAGUCGCAGAAUUAAACUCAAAGAUUGACGGGGACCCGCACAAGCGGUGGAUGAUGUGGAUUAAUUCGAUGCAACGCGAAAAACCUUACCUACCCUUGACAUGUCUGGAAUCCCGAAGAGAUUUGGGGAGUGCUCGCAAGAGAACCGGAACACAGGUGCUGCAUGGCUGUCGUCAGCUCGUGUCGUGAGAUGUUGGGUUAAGUCCGCAACAGCCGCAACCCUUGUCAUUAGUUGCUACGAAAGGGCACUCAGCCAGACUGCCGGUGACAAACCGGAGGAAGGUGGGGAUGACGUCAAAGUCCUCAUAGCCCUUAUGGGUAAGGGCUUCACGUCGCCGUGGUCGGGACAGAGGGUCGCCAACCCCGCGAGGGGAGCCAAUCCCAAAGAGGCGAUCGUAGUCGGAUCGCAGUCUGCAACUCGACUGCGUGAAGUCCAGAUCGCUAGUAAUCGCGGAUCAGCAUGUCGCGGUGAAUACGUUCGGGUCUUGUACACCGCCCGUCACACCAUGGGAGUGGGUUUUACCAGAAGUAGUUAGCCUAACCGUAAGGGAGGGCGAUUCUGUGGAUUCGGCAGGGUGAAGUCGUAACAAGGUAA